rnacentral:lncRNA from 1 species
CCUUCCUCUAGCGCCAAUUCUGUUGCUGCAGAAUUUCGCCGACACCGAAAAAGCUGGAGUCGAGGGGAUCGCAUCCGCCGUCGGGACCUGCAAGAGAAGUCUAAACCAGAGUUGGGGGUGCUCCGGCAAGACCCUCCGACGCUCCAGUCAGUACUCUGCCUCAAUAGAAAUGGAGCACUCGAAUGAAAUUUUAGCGGAGUUUCGAGAUAGAGUUUAUAGCUUAGAGAAGAAAGUAUCUGGGGGUCCCUUUAUAU